rnacentral:rRNA from 1 species
GACGAACGCUGGCGGCGUGCUUAACACAUGCAAGUCGAGCGAGGUCCGUCCAGUGGCAACACUGGGGAAGACCUAGCGGCGAACGGGUGAGUAACACGUGAGCAACCUGCCCCGAAGACUGGGAUAACACCGGGAAACCGGUGCUAAUACCGGAUGCCCUCACCGGGCCGCAUGACCUGGUGAGGAAAUGAAUUUUGCUUCGGGAGGGGCUCGCGGGCUAUCAGCUUGUUGGUGAGGUAACGGCUCACCAAGGCUACGACGGCUAGCUGGUCUGAGAGGACGAUCAGCCACACUGGGACUGAGACACGGCCCAGACUCCUACGGAGGCAGCAGUGGGGAAUCUUGGACAAUGGGGGAAACCCUGAUCCAGCGACGCCGCGUGGGUGAUGAAGGCC